CGUACACUCCUACGGGAGGCAGCAGUGGGGAAUAUUGGACAAUGGGCGCAAGCCUGAUCCAGCCAUGCCGCGUGAGUGAUGAAGGCCCUAGGGUUGUAAAGCUCUUUCACCGGUGAAGAUAAUGACGGUAACCGGAGAAGAAGCCCCGGCUAACUUCGUGCCAGCAGCCGCGGUAAUACGAAGGGGGCUAGCGUUGUUCGGAUUUACUGGGCGUAAAGCGCACGUAGGCGGACUAUUAAGUCAGGGGUGAAAUCCCGGGGCUCAACCCCGGAACUGCCUUUGAUACUGGUAGUCUUGAGUUCGAGAGAGGUGAGUGGAAUUCCGAGUGUAGAGGUGAAAUUCGUAGAUAUUCGGAGGAACACCAGUGGCGAAGGCGGCUCACUGGCUCGAUACUGACGCUGAGGUGCGAAAGCGUGGGGAGCAAACAGGAUUAGAAACCCCAGUAGUCC
rnacentral:rRNA from 1 species